AUACUUAUAAAUUUUUGAACAUGGUGAGAUUCUGAACAUGGAUUUUUUGGUCCAGGUUCCAUCAAACAUAUAUCCAACGGGCUGGGCAUAUGGGUAACCCGUUCGGAUUCGGGUUAAAUGGGUAAUGGAUUUACUACCCAAUAGGGUAAAACAGAAUUUUCGGUUUCGGUCCGAUUCGGGUGCACUCGGGUUCUGGUCGGUUUGGGUAAAGAGUUUCAAGCCCUAAAAAUACCAAAACAAAAUGUAAACAGGUAUUUUAUGUGUAGAUAGCGGGUACCAAAAAAACCCUUAAAUAUU
rnacentral:sRNA from 1 species